AGCUCCAAUAGCGUAUAUUUAAGUUGCUGCAGUUAAAAAGCUCGUAGUUGGAUUUCGGGUGGGGCCUGCCGGUCCGCCGUUUCGGUGUGCACUGGCCGGGCCCACCUUGCUGCCGGGGACGUGUUCCUGGGCUUCACUGUCCGGGACACGGAGUCGGCGAGGUUACUUUGAGUAAAUUAGAGUGUUCAAAGCAGGCCUACGCUCUGAAUACAUUAGCAUGGAAUAACACGAUAGGACUCUGGCCUAUCUUGUUGGUCUGUAGGACCGGAGUAAUGAUUAAGAGGGACAGUCGGGGGCAUUCGUAUUUCAUUGUCAGAGGUGAAAUUCUUGGAUUUAUGAAAGACGAACUUCUGCGAAAGCAUUUGCCAAGGAUG
rnacentral:rRNA from 1 species